AUUGAACGCUGGCGGCAGGCCUAACACAUGCAAGUCGAGCGGAUGAAGGGAGCUUGCUCCUGGAUUCAGCGGCGGACGGGUGAGUAAUGCCUAGGAAUCUGCCUGGUAGUGGGGGAUAACGUCCGGAAACGGGCGCUAAUACCGCAUACGUCCUGAGGGGGAAAGUGGGGGAUCUUCGGACCUCACGCUAUCAGAUGAGCCUAGGUCGGAUUAGCUAGUUGGUGGGGUAAAGGCCUACCAAGGCGACGAUCCGUAACUGGUCUGAGAGGAUGAUCAGUCACACUGGAACUGAGACACGGUCUAGACUCCUACGGGAGGCAGCAGUGGGGAAUAUUGGACAAUGGGCGAAAGCCUGAUCCAGCCAUGCCGCGUGUGUGAAGAAGGUCUUCGGAUUGUAAAGCACUUUAAGUUGGGAGGAAGGGCAGUAAGUUAAUACCUUGCUGUUUUGACGUUACCAACAGAAUAAGCACCGGCUAACUUCGUG
rnacentral:rRNA from 1 species